rnacentral:sRNA from 1 species
AGGGCGACCGGAUCCACACCGCGGGUCACCACCAGAUAGUCGCGCAGCACCACACUGUGCCGGUUCUC